rnacentral:rRNA from 1 species
CCUACGGGAGGCAGCAGUAGGGAAUCUUCCGCAAUGGACGAAAGUCUGACGGAGCAACGCCGCGUGAACGAUGAAGGCCUUCGGGUCGUAAAGUUCUGUUGUUAGGGAAGAACAAGUGCUAGUUGAAUAAGCUGGCACCUUGACGGUACCUAACCAGAAAGCCACGGCUAACUACGUGCCAGCAGCCGCGGUAAUACGUAGGUGGCAAGCGUUGUCCGGAAUUAUUGGGCGUAAAGCGCGCGCAGGCGGUUUCUUAAGUCUGAUGUGAAAGCCCCCGGCUCAACCGGGGAGGGUCAUUGGAAACUGGGAAACUUGAGUGCAGAAGAGGAAAGUGGAAUUCCAAGUGUAGCGGUGAAAUGCGUAGAGAUUUGGAGGAACACCAGUGGCGAAGGCGACUUUCUGGUCUGUAACUGACGCUGAGGCGCGAAAGCGUGGGGAGCAAACAGGAUUAGAUACCCUGGUAGUCCACGCUGUAAACGAUGAGUGCUAAGUGUUAGAGGGUUUUCCGCCCUUUUAGUGCUGAAGUUAACGCAUUAAGCACUCCGCCUGGGGAUACGGUCNCAAGACUGAAACUCAAAUGAAUUGACG